UAACACAUGCAAGUCGAGGGGCAGCAUGGUCUUAGCUUGCUAAGGCCGAUGGCGACCGGCGCACGGGUGAGUAACACGUAUCCAACCUGCCGUCUACUCUUGGACAGCCUUCUGAAAGGAAGAUUAAUACAAGAUGGCAUCAUGAGUCCGCAUGUUCACAUGAUUAAAGGUAUUCCGGUAGACGAUGGGGAUGCGUUCCAUUAGAUAGUAGGCGGGGUAACGGCCCACCCAGUCUUCGAUGGAUAGGGGUUCUGAGAGGAAGGUCCCCCACAUUGGAACUGAGACACGGUCCAAACUCCUACGGGAGGCAGCAGUGAGGAAUAUUGGUCAAUGGGCGAGAGCCUGAACCAGCCAAGUAGCGUGAAGGAUGACUGCCCUAUGGGUUGUAAACUUCUUUUAUAAAGGAAUAAAGUCGGGUAUGCAUACCCGUUUGCAUGUACUUUAUGAAUAAGGAUCGGCUAACUCCGUGCCAGCAGCCGCGGUAAUACGGAGGAUCCGAGCGUUAUCCGGAUUUAUUGGGUUUAAAGGGAGCGUAGAUGGAUGUUUAAGUCAGUUGUGAAAGUUUGCGGCUCAACCGGUAAAAUUGCAGUUGAUACUGGAUAUCUUGAGUGCAGUUGAGGCAGGCGGAAUUCGUGGUGUAGCGGUGAAAUGCUUAGAUAUCACGAAGAACUCCGAUUGCGAAGGCAGCCUGCUAAGCUGCAACUGACAUUGAGGCUCGAAAGUGUGGGUAUCAAACAGGAUUAGAUACCCUGGUAGUCCACACGGUAAACGAUGAAUACCCGCUGUUUGCGAUAUACAGCAAGCGGCCAAGCGAAAGCGUUAAGUAUUCCACCUGGGGAGUACGCCGGCAACGGUGAGACUCAAAGGAAUUGACGGGGGCCCGCACAAGCGGAGGAACAUGUGGUUUAAUUCGAUGAUACGCGAGGAACCUUACCCGGGCUUAAAUUGCAGAUGAAUUACGGUGAAAGCCGUAAGCCGCAAGGCAUCUGUGAAGGUGCUGCAUGGUUGUCGUCAGCUCGUGCCGUGAGGUGUCGGCUUAAGUGCCAUAACGAGCGCAACCCUUGUUGUCAGUUACUAACAGGUUCCGCUGAGGACUCUGACAAGACUGCCAUCGUAAGAUGUGAGGAAGGUGGGGAUGACGUCAAAUCAGCACGGCCCUUACGUCCGGGGCUACACACGUGUUACAAUGGGGGGUACAGAGGGCCGCUACCACGCGAGUGGAUGCCAAUCCCCAAAACCUGUCUCAGUUCGGACUGGAGUCUGCAACCCGACUCCACGAAGCUGGAUUCGCUAGUAAUCGCGCAUCAGCCACGGCGCGGUGAAUACGUUCCCGGGCCUUGUACACACCGCCCGUCAAGCCAUGGGAGCCGGGGGUACCUGAAGUACGUAACCGCAAGGAUCGUCCUAGGGUAAAACUGGUGACUGGGGCUAAGU
rnacentral:rRNA from 1 species